rnacentral:tRNA from 1 species
CAGAGGAUAGUUUAUUAAUAAAAAUAUUAAUUUUGGAAAUUAAUGAUAAGAAUUUCUUUCCUUUGA